GGCAAGCGUUGUCCGGAAUUAUUGGGCGUAAAGCGCGCGCAGGCGGUUCCUUAAGUCUGAUGUGAAAGCCCACGGCUCAACCGUGGAGGGUCAUUGGAAACUGGGGGACUUGAGUGCAGGAGAGGGGAGCGGAAUUCCAUGUGUAGCGGUGAAAUGCGUAGAGAUAUGGAGGAACACCAGUGGCGAAGGCGGCUCUCUGGCCUGUAACUGACGCUGAGACGCGAAAGCGUGGGGAGCGAACAGGAUUAGAUACCCUGGUAGUCCACGCCGUAAACGAUGAGUGCUAAGUGUUAGAGGGUUUCCACCCUUUAGUGCUGCAGCUAACGCAUUAAGCACUCCGCCUGGGGAGUACGGUCGCAAGACUGAAACUCAAAGGAAUUGACGGGGGCCCGCACAAGCGGUGGAGCAUGUGGUUUAAUUCGAAGCAACGCGAAGAACCUUACCAGGUCUUGACAUCCUCUGACAACCCUAGAGAUAGGGCGUUCCCCUUCGGGGGACAGAGU
rnacentral:rRNA from 1 species